rnacentral:rRNA from 1 species
AUUGAACGCUGGCGGCAGGCCUAACACAUGCAAGUCGAGCGGAUGAAGGGAGCUUGCUCCUGGAUUCAGCGGCGGACGGGUGAGUAAUGCCUAGGAAUCUGCCUGGUAGUGGGGGAUAACGUCCGGAAACGGGCGCUAAUACCGCAUACGUCCUGAGGGAGAAAGUGGGGGAUCUUCGGACCUCACGCUAUCAGAUGAGCCUAGGUCGGAUUAGCUAGUUGGUGGGGUAAAGGCCUACCAAGGCGACGAUCCGUAACUGGUCUGAGAGGAUGAUCAGUCACACUGGAACUGAGACAAGGUCCAGACCCCUACGGGAGGCAGCAGUGGGGAAUAUUGGACAAUGGGCGAAAGCCUGAUCCAGCCAUGCCGCGUGGGUGAAGAAGGUCUUCGGAUUGUAAAGCACUUUAAGUUGGGAGGAAGGGCAGUAAGUUAAUACCUUGCUGUUUUGACGUUACCAACAGAAUAAGCACCGGCUAACUUCGUG